rnacentral:rRNA from 1 species
UGAGUAAUCUGCCCUGCGCUCUGGGAUAGCCACCGGAAACGGUGAUUAAUACCGGAUAGGACCACUACAGGCAUCUGUUGGUGGUGGAAAGUUUUUUCGGCGCAGGAUGUGCUCGCGGCCUAUCAGCUUGUUGGUGAGGUAAUGGCUCACCAAGGCUUUGACGGGUAGCCGGCCUGAGAGGGUGACCGGUCACACUGGGACUGAGACACGGCCCAGACUCCUACGGGAGGCAGCAGUGGGGAAUAUUGGACAAUGGGCGGAAGCCUGAUCCAGCAACGCCGCGUGAGGGAUGACGGCCUUCGGGUUGUAAACCUCUUUCAGUACCGACGAAGCGCAAGUGACGGUAGGUACAGAAGAAGGACCGGCCAACUACGUGCCAGCAGCCGCGGUAAUACGUAGGGUCCGAGCGUUGUCCGGAAUUAUUGGGCGUAAAGGGCUCGUAGGCGGUUUGUCGCGUCGGGAGUGAAAACACCGGGCUUAACUCGGUGCUUGCUUUCGAUACGGGCAGACUAGAGGUAUGCAGGGGAGAAUGGAAUUCCUGGUGUAGCGGUGAAAUGCGCAGAUAUCAGGAGGAACACCGGUGGCGAAGGCGGUUCUCUGGGCAUUACCUGACGCUGAGGAGC